GGUUUUCCCCUGAGAGAUCGAUUCUUCCAUUUGAGUGAUUCGGUUGAGUUUCUUGCGGAGGGCGCGGAGACGCUUGUUGAUGAGUCCCAUCACUGGUCCUUCGCUGGCGUCUGAGGAAGAUGUCGCUGUCGCUGUCGCAGUAGCGGUAGGUGCCAUGGUGUUGGAUUUGUGUAGGAGAUCGAUUUAAUCGGCGGAGAAAGUGACCACCGUUGAACAGCGGCGGUGAAGAAAUGAGAGAGAAGAGGAAGAGGAAGAGGAUGAUUAGGGUUUUUCUGAGAGAUGUAAGUGACUGCUAUGUGUUCUUAAAUAUAUUGGAUAAUUGAUACUGAAAAAGAUAAAAUCAAUGAACCGAAAUUACUCCCUUAAUUUCUAAACUAUUUUUUCGCGGAUUAGAUUUUUAAAAAAUUAUUAUGUAUCAAUUUAGGUGGUUCUUGGAAAUAACAUACGAAAGUUUAACAAAAUUUAUUUCUUACAGAUGAAGAUACACUUUCUUUUCCUCUUAUUUUUCUUCUUUUCUCCAAAGAGAGUAUUUUAAUCAAGUAUAUGAGAAAAUAAGAUAUUUGUAUAGUGGAUAAUGCCAUUAGCAUUUUUGAAUGAUUGUUGUGGAAAUACUUGCUUCUCCGGCUUUUAGCUGAUUUUUUAGUACAAUAUGCAUACGGUCAUGCAUUCGAUUGUUUUUUAUUGUACAAUUUAAUUUUUCAGGGUAGUGAUGCUCGCAUUUGACUUCAUGGUUGAGCAUUUGUAUUUCUCUGGAGUCUUGUGUGUUGGGGGUUGUUGUAGGAAAUCAAUGGAAAUUCAGCCGACAUGAAUUAACAUUUCUGGUACAGCGUAACAUGAUGUUCUAACGUUUACACAUACUCCAAUUUUUCAAGAUACUCCUUUUCAUUUACCAGUAAGUACUAAGUAGUAACUAUGAUUUAUUGUACAUAGGAAAAACAAAACAAUACUCGUUCCUGUCGAAUGCAUGCUCCUACAAAUAACAAUCCAAAUGCUCGUUUACAAAAUGAAAUCGUUUAUUUACAACAAGAAAAACGAACAACUUGGUCUAUAUUCACCAAAAAGAAUGUAUAAGCAUUUUUUUCUAUUAUCAAAACUCUAUACUGCAUUUUUUCACAUAUCAACUCAUACUGUAGAGCAAGCAAUGCUCAUGGUGCGACGUCUUUUAUCUCCGUUACCAAGAGUCUCGUACCAUCUACCAAUCUUAUUGUCUUAUAGACCUUUUAUAAGGUUCAUAUCAUAAUGCUCCACCAAAACACUCACCACACGAGAAGACAAUCACUGGUCUAGAGGCUAGCACUGGAGGGUACCAAAAUGACAUGCAGUGUUCCAUUGUUAGGAGGAAGUUGCAAACGAAGGGGAAACAGCUUGCCGUUUAAUGGACUGCGAGUGCACACCACAGCGUCCUCCAUGCACGUUUCUUCUCGCAACGUCUGAGUCAGCUCCGCCACGCUGUUCCCUUUAAACGUGAAAGCAUAUCCAACGCUCGAUUCAUCCUCCACGUGUCCUUCAUCGUCAGCGAUGUGGUAGUAUAUCGUUCUCCCAUCCGAUUUCGGUGGAGACACAACCGACUGGUCAAAACCAAAGUUCAUGUCAGGAGGGUAAUUAUAAACAAAAUUUGAGGGUAUUUCAGUAAUUAGCAAUAGUAACUCACAUCUUGUUCGGAUCUCUCUGAAAGAGAAGACGGAGUCCUCGAUGGCCUCCUAUGCGGUGGUGGCUGCGUCUUCACCGGCGGAGGCUGCGUCUUCGGUGACGGAGUGAACUCAGUCUCCGCCGUGACUUGAGGAUUAACCAAGAUCUCAACAACAUCAACCUCCCACGAGAUGGAAUCCUGAGUAGCCGACAAAUGAGGAUUGUCGUGCGUCACCGAGUUUCUCCACGGCGGAAGACCACCGUUACCUCGUAGAUAGUUACCGUAUCUCGUCCUGAGCUUAAUCUUGGAUCCUUCUCUAACUGGUUCCCACUCAACAGACGAGUCGAGACGACUCGGUUUUAGCUGAAUCACUUUCUUCCCGGUAGCUCCGAGCAAGAACCGCUCGUUCGAAGCGGUUAGGUAUUUACCGUAACAGCUUUUGAGACGGAUCACGUGGUACGAAUCGCGAACCGGUUCGACGGUCCAUCGAGCGCUUUUGUUUGAUCCGUUUCGGGCUUGUGUCCGUGGCAAGUGGCUUUUUAAAACUAAAAAAGGGUCGAAAAACUCUUUUAUCCAAAGACUCUCAUCGACCAUGAGCUCACGUCUCAGUUAGUGCUGUUUGGAUGAGAACACCUAAACCCAUAUUUGACUAUCUGAAAUGGCUCUCAUGGAGAGAAAAGGGAUCAUAUUGAUUGAUGGCUACAAAAGAAAAACAGAAGUUCAUAACACCAAAGAGCACUUGACAAAAGUUCGAAACCCAAACAAGGACACGCACCCAAAAGUCAACAAGGCAGAAAAGCUAAGACGCAACAGUUACGUUUGAGUCUUGGUUGUUGUUGUUGUUGUAUGAAUGGCCGUUUCCUCCACCACCACCACGUCCCCUUCCUCUGUUGUUGUAGUGGCUCCUUUGGUAACCGUUUCCACCCGAAUUGUCAUAAGAUUCAUACCUCCCAUUCGAGUAUCCUCCACCACCACCACCUCGACCUCCCCGGGGGGCAUUGGAAUGACCUCUUCUAGCACCUCUAUGACCUCUCUGGUUCUGGUGGGUUCCACGAGGUACAUACUGUUGCUGAUAAUCUCUCUUUGACCUCCCUCCUUCCACCUGAGUAUAUCCUUGUUCCUGCUGUCCUUGGACCAACUCUCCUUCCGUCACUGACUCAUCCUUCAAACCCCAAAUAUAUAAAAAAAAAAAAAUCAACAAAUUCAGCCUAGAGCAAUCGAUUUAUAAAGAUGCUUUUAAAAGCUCCACAUUUCACUGGAUUACCUUUGGUUGCUCAGAUUGAUCAUUAACAGCAGGUUCUUGUUCUUUAAUGUUUGAUGCGUCUUCUUCCUGCAACCAGAUGAACAUCAGUCCCACGGAAAGAAAGAGAACAAUGGAUACACAAGCGAAGGAUGUAUGUUCUCUACAUCACAUAACUAGACACUCAAGAGAAACAUGUCUUAAACAUUCGCCACAGUGAAGAAAAAUACUGUCACGGUUAUUAAUCACUACUCACAUGAAUAAACCAGAAUAUAUUAACAACUCGUAGAGCAGAGUUCUCAAAGACCAUAAAAUUAAUGUAACAAUCAACUUAACAAUGUACUUCUCUAUCCUGAUCACACAAAGCACAAGCCUAGAGCCUAGACAAACUCUGACUCCUACACAAAAGAAACUCGAUCUGGGAUCACUAGUCUCCUCCUUGGGAUCAAAUUAGAGCUUAGCAUCUCAUAACAGAAAGAACAACAUGCAUUCGACCUAUGAAAUUCACUAACAAUUUGAUAACAAACAAAGAACUAGCAAUAAGCAGUUUAGCUUUGAAAAGAAUGUGUUAUGAAACAAAACAGCAAUGCAACCUAAAAAAAAGUCACACACAAACGAAGAAAGAGAAUUCAGAUGAUCAAAGCAUUUCAAUGAUAACCACUGAGAGCUCCCUCUCCAACUCAAAACCUAACCUAAAAAGGUGAAUACCUACCUUUUGCUCAGUGUCAGCAGCGACUUGGAAAGCACCGUAGUUACCAGCAGCAGCUGCAGACGCUGCUUCAACAGGAGCAACCAUCUCAGGAGUAAUAGUGAAGUAAUUAGAACCCAUAAUCUUCUUCAACUUCUCUCUCAAUCCAGCAUCUGAAACACACAAAUCCCAUUAACUAAAAACCAAACCAAAACUGAAACAAACAAACUUUGGAUUUUUAUUACAUGAAACAUUGCAGUUGGAAGCAAUGGGCUGGUCCGAGCUAGCCAACCAAAGCUUAGCAUGCUCGACGCAACGCUCCAAAGCGUUCUUGUGAGACAAGAACGAAUCCGCAGGCCUGGAUACCAUCAUAGUCCACAGCUCGGAAAUCAAAUCCAGAUCCUUAUCACAUAGCAGAUCCGUGGACUCAUCCGUAACCGUAUCGUAAACCAAACAGCAACCUCUCUCGUGCGUCCUCGUCAGCAUAAUCGAAGCCAACUCGUUCUGCGACUUCACGUCGAAGAGCGAGCCAAAGUACAACAGAUUCACCAAAUCCUCCAACUUCUUCGCUUCUUCCUCCUCGGGAGCGUCAGCUACUUCGUUUUGAUCGGGGGGAGCUUGAUUGUGGUGGUGGAGGUGGUGAGUAGUGGCCAGGGUGAUUUCUUCGGAGACGGCGGCGGAGAGAGGAGCGCGGAGCUUGUCGAGCUCUUCGAUGAGGACGAGGACGGACGGUUUGGAGCGGAGGACUUCUUGUUGCUCCUUGUUUAGGGUUUUCCCCUGAGAGAUCGAUUCUUCCAUUUGAGUGAUUCGGUUGAGUUUCUUGCGGAGGGCGCGGAGACGUUUGUUGAUGAGUCCCAUCACUGGUCCUUCGCUGGCGUCUGAGGAAGCUGUCGCAGUCGCAGUCGCUGUAGCGGUAGGUGCCAUGGUGUUGGAUUUGUGUAGGAGAUCGGUUUGAUCGGCGGAGAAAGUGACCACCGUUGAACAGCGGCGGUGAAGAAAUGAGAGAGAAGAGGAAGAGGAAGAGGAUGAUUAGGGUUUUUCUGAGAGAUGUAAGUGACUGCUAUGUGUUCUUAAAUAUAUUGGAUAAUUGAUACUGAAAAAGAUAAAAUCAAUGAACCGAAAUUACUCCCUUAAUUUCUAAACUAUUUUUUCGCGGAUUAGAUUUUUAAAAAAUUAUUAUGUAUCAAUUUAGGUGGUUCUUGGAAAUAACAUACGAAAGUUUAACAAAAUUUAUUUCUUACAGAUGAAGAUACACUUUCUUUUCCUCUUAUUUUUCUUCUUUUCUCCAAAGAGAGUAUUUUAAUCAAGUAUAUGAGAAAAUAAGAUAUUUGUAUAGUGGAUAAUGCCAUUAGCAUUUUUGAAUGAUUGUUGUGGAAAUACUUGCUUCUCCGGCUUUUAGCUGAUUUUUUAGUACAAUAUGCAUACGGUCAUGCAUUCGAUUGUUUUUUAUUGUACAAUUUAAUUUUUCAGGGUAGUGAUGCUCGCAUUUGACUUCAUGGUUGAGCAUUUGUAUUUCUCUGGAGUCUUGUGUGUUGGGGGUUGUUGUAGGAAAUCAAUGGAAAUUCAGCCGACAUGAAUUAACAUUUCUGGUACAGCGUAACAUGAUGUUCUAACGUUUACACAUACUCCAAUUUUUCAAGAUACUCCUUUUCAUUUACCAGUAAGUACUAAGUAGUAACUAUGAUUUAUUGUACAUAGGAAAAACAAAACAAUACUCGUUCCUGUCGAAUGCAUGCUCCUACAAAUAACAAUCCAAAUGCUCGUUUACAAAAUGAAAUCGUUUAUUUACAACAAGAAAAACGAACAACUUGGUCUAUAUUCACCAAAAAGAAUGUAUAAGCAUUUUUUUCUAUUAUCAAAACUCUAUACUGCAUUUUUUCACAUAUCAACUCAUACUGUAGAGCAAGCAAUGCUCAUGGUGCGACGUCUUUUAUCUCCGUUACCAAGAGUCUCGUACCAUCUACCAAUCUUAUUGUCUUAUAGACCUUUUAUAAGGUUCAUAUCAUAAUGCUCCACCAAAACACUCACCACACGAGAAGACAAUCACUGGUCUAGAGGCUAGCACUGGAGGGUACCAAAAUGACAUGCAGUGUUCCAUUGUUAGGAGGAAGUUGCAAACGAAGGGGAAACAGCUUGCCGUUUAAUGGACUGCGAGUGCACACCACAGCGUCCUCCAUGCACGUUUCUUCUCGCAACGUCUGAGUCAGCUCCGCCACGCUGUUCCCUUUAAACGUGAAAGCAUAUCCAACGCUCGAUUCAUCCUCCACGUGUCCUUCAUCGUCAGCGAUGUGGUAGUAUAUCGUUCUCCCAUCCGAUUUCGGUGGAGACACAACCGACUGGUCAAAACCAAAGUUCAUGUCAGGAGGGUAAUUAUAAACAAAAUUUGAGGGUAUUUCAGUAAUUAGCAAUAGUAACUCACAUCUUGUUCGGAUCUCUCUGAAAGAGAAGACGGAGUCCUCGAUGGCCUCCUAUGCGGUGGUGGCUGCGUCUUCACCGGCGGAGGCUGCGUCUUCGGUGACGGAGUGAACUCAGUCUCCGCCGUGACUUGAGGAUUAACCAAGAUCUCAACAACAUCAACCUCCCACGAGAUGGAAUCCUGAGUAGCCGACAAAUGAGGAUUGUCGUGCGUCACCGAGUUUCUCCACGGCGGAAGACCACCGUUACCUCGUAGAUAGUUACCGUAUCUCGUCCUGAGCUUAAUCUUGGAUCCUUCUCUAACUGGUUCCCACUCAACAGACGAGUCGAGACGACUCGGUUUUAGCUGAAUCACUUUCUUCCCCGUAGCUCCAAGCAAGAACCGCUCGUUCGAAGCGGUUAGGUAUUUACCGUAACAGCUUUUGAGACGGAUUACGUGGUACGAAUCGCGAACCGGUUCGACGGUCCAUCGAGCGUUUUUGGUUGAUCCGUUUCGGUCUUGUGUCACUGUUUCCUCGUCGUCGUCUGCGGAUAGAUACUUGUUGUGGCUGUUACGCAUUCGAAUGGCUUUAGCUUUCUGGAAAAACUCCAUUGCUGAGACUGUUUCGUUUUGGUUUAAGCUACUCGUCUUCUCCUUUUGGUUGAAGCUACUCGCUUUCUGUUAAAAAAAAAAUGAGUGUGGGAAUAUGUAAGAAGUGGUGAAGAUGCGGUUUGUGUUUAUAUGUGCAUCUUUCUCUCUGUCCUUGGUCUGGUCUAACUUUUUGUAGUAACGCGGACAUUACACGGGACUAGUCAGAGACGCAUGAAAAUUGAAAAGUCAGAGUUUGCUGAUUGGAUUUACCGCGUUUUAAUUUCCACGUCAGCACAGUGUAAUAGCAUGUUUUUAUUCUGUUAAUGUGUCUUAAUUUCAAAGUAGUACAAAUGCAAUGUUACUACUACAUUUCUGGAUUGGCAUCCUGAAAAAGAGUUAAUGAUGAGAAUCCUACUAUCUAUAUUUUACUUUGUAUUCAAGACCAAAUCGGGACUUCGCAUUUCUUUUACUUUUCAAAACUACUCCAAGAGAAGUUUAAGGAGUAUAAAUUUUCUUUUAAUACAAAGUUGGAUUCAGGUUCUCCAAGAGAAGUUUAAACAGAAUACUGGGAGUCAGUGUAGAAUAUCAAAGGUUAAUCUUUUUUUGGAUCAAAUCAAAGGUUAAUCUAAAAAUCAUUGAUAAAGUGGUAAACUUUAACUAAAUUACAGUUGGAAUGGGACUAUUUGUAUUUUUUUAAUGAAAAGAUGAUAGAGAUAGGUAACCUAUUUUCCACAAAAAAACACCAUGUUAUUUUACCAUUUUCCAAGAGAUCAUCUUAAGUUUUCAUGUUAUCAGCAUUGGUGAAAUUUUGUAAGAGUUUUCAUGUUAUCAGCAUUGGUGAAAUUUUGUAAGAGUCUUCUUGUUAUAAUAAAUAAAUAAAUAAAACUGAAGAAAGAAAAACAUAGUCUUUCAAAUCAAUUUUUUUUGGCAAAAGUUACAUGUCAAUUGUUCCAUGUACUUGAAAUAUUAUUUUAGAAACUUAAUAUAACUUUUAUUGAUAAUGAUGCUUUUAGAAAUUUAGUCAUGUAGUUUUCGAUGGUACAUCAAAAACAAACAUAGCAACUGUUUUAUCAAGUUCCAUUAAUAGCUUAAGAUUUGAUACGAUGAUAUAUAUAUAUAUAUAUUUUUUUUUUCUGAAACACUGAUACAAUGAUAUAUACAUAUAUAUAAUAUUCCGUUUAAGUUUAGAACUUAGGAAUGUAAGGUAAAGGUGGUAUAGACAUUAAACCUAAAUGUGAAAUAAUGGAAAAAUAUAAUACAUAGUUUCUAACAAAAUAAAAUGCAUUUGUAUACCUUUCUCGCUCAAAAUGUAAUAUACUAAUAUUGUAUUGGGUUGUUGUUGUUUUUUUCUUUCUCUUUUUUGUUGUAAUAAGUUGCUUGCAUUGUAAACUUUUGAAAAAGAAAAUGGUACUAAAAUUUUAACAUUUUACCAAGAAAAAUGUAAUACUGUCUCUAUGCCAUAAAGAGAUUUGAAAAAGAGGAUUUAAAGGAAUGCUUAUAGAAUAAGUGUCUAGUCUCUUGCCCGCAAGAAAGACCAAGAAAAAAGGAAAUUCAUGAGUGUGGGACUCUCCUAACUGCUUCCUUCCUUGGACCAUAUGGUCCCACAGUCCAUGCCAUUACAAAUAAAUCAUAACUAAACCAACUUUUUCACCAUACUUUGUUUCCACGUGUCUUGUGUUAGCUGAGAUUAGAUUUAUUUAUAUGAAGCCAUUAGGUGUAAGUUUUAAAUGUUGGCCUAAAAGAUUAGGUAUAAAAAAAUUCUUAAUCAUCCUAUAUAGGUACGUAUAAUUGUUUUAAGAACUUUUACUGUCACUUACAUGUUACUAACUUUAGCUGGAUUUCAAAUGUCAUAUUUUCAACUGUUGUAGUUUCUAUAGUGAAUUAUAAAAUAAGAAGUUGUUCUAAGUAAACUACACAUUUAAUUAAUAUAAGAUAUAAUAAAAAAUAUGAAAUUUCUGAGUGCUAUUAGGUUGGUGGAACGAUGUAUGUGCUUGUGGAGCACUCACUAUAUAUGUUAGUGGAGAAAAGAAUCAUAUAUAGUUUCCAAGUUUCUAUAACACUAAAUAUUAGUAUGGUAAUUUAUCCUCCAUUUUUCUAUCUAAUGCAUGCCAACCAAAAUUGGGCUGAGUCCAGCUAACUAUAAUAACUUUCUAUGGUACACUUAAUUAAGAAACAACUAUUCAAUGCACAAUGUAAAUGAAAAUUGAUAAGUAAAGACUUAGUCAAACUUACCGGUUUUGAGGACCAUCUCGGAGACAUUGAACUCAAACCAAGAGAAGCGAACCGAUCAAUACUCUUCAUUGACCUGGCGGAAACGGGCGACGCAGGCUCUGACCCGAGAUCCGACCCGGAGAUAUGUGAAGAAACCGGAGAAGAAACAGAGCUCUCAUCUCCAGCAGACAUGUUUUCAAGAUCAGAACCAUCAACUGUAAUAACAUCCCAAACCAACCAGUUCUUGGUCUUCGAUGUAUGAGGCUCGUCGUGAGUAACGGAGUUUCUCCACGGCGGUGUUCCUCCGUUAGCCCUCAUCCAUUUACCGCACCAAGACUUCAGCUUCACCGAGAAACCAUCUCGCACCGGUUCCCACUGCGUUUGCCAAUCCAUAGGCUUGUUAGACGAGUGCGUUUGAGUCACUUUCUCACCGGUCAUACCUAACAGCAACGGUUUAUUGCUCGCCGUUAAGUAGGUGCCGUGACUGCUUUUUAACCUUAUCAGAUUCGGUUUAGCCUCAACAGUCUCUACCGUCCAUACGGCUCGCCGUGCAUCUCCUUUACGACUUUGACGGAUGGUUUCUUGAUCGUCGUCGGCGACUAGAAACUUAUCCAGGUGGCUCCUUAACUUAACGGCUUCUCCUUUGGUGAAUAGCUCCAUUUCUUUGAUGUUUGAAGAAGAGGCAAAAGAUCAAACUAGCAGAAAAUAAACUUUUGUGAUGAAAGGAUGUCUGAAUUAUGAAUGGACUGCUUUUAUGGUUAUAUAGAUAAAUGAUUUUAAAUGGGACAUAGAGUCCUUGCUAAAAGGGAACUAUUGUAAGUUAAUAUUCGGAGUAUUAUUCGGCUUGAAAUUAUAUAGAAAUUUCCCAAAUCAAAUGACGAAAUGACUAUUAAUAAAAUAUUAAACAGUAUAGAAAUGUAAUAUUUAAUUUGCAGAAGGUUCCACUUUGCGUAACUAAAUGUAUUUGUACAUGUCGACAAAAAAAAUGUAUUUGUACAUUUGGCCUCACGCGCGUGAAUUGCGUGAUGUGAAUAUUUCACAAGAAAAUGUCUCACGUUACGGUUUUCAAUGUUUGUUUUCAUUCCAUCUAGACCGGUAUACACUUCAAGUCAUCAUAUACUACGAUGCAACCAAAUGUUUGUGUUUCCAUUAUGUCUUCAUUUGUUUGGUUUGCACUACUGGCAUGUUGAUGAAAGAUCAGUGUAGUUAAACUAUCUUAAACGUAGCUCUUGGCCUUCUUUUUAUUUUCCAAAGUGCUUAUAAACUUCAUAAUCAGAUUAAAAGUAUAUAUUAAUAGAGAGAAUCGAUAAUUAUAACGUUCAUAAUAUAUGUUGUGAAUAGAAUGUUCAUAUUAUAUAUUUUGAACCAAUAAAGAAAAAAAAUGGAAACAAUGGAAAAUGAGAGAAGAUGAGGAGAGGUAACUGUAGUGCGCGUGGGCGUAUGUUGUAUUUAUUUUCCACGAACCAAACAAAGUCAAUAGAAGACUUAUUAUGAAUAUUUAAGAUUCGUACAUGUCUAAACACAGUUGAAUACAUAGAUACAAACAUUACCGUAUAAUACGUGUGUAUCAUAUCUUUUCUUGGAAAAGUAUAAUUAAUGUUAGACUUGGAUUCUUUUGGGUUCUUUUUGUCAACAUGCUCUAGUUGAGCUUUUCUUAAUCCUAAUCGUUGGCUUUUGUUGCCACGUCAGGCUGUGGAAGAAACGGUCUUAGUUUGUUCUCCCAACACCAAAUAUAUGGCUCUCUUAAAAUUCAUGACACUUCAAAUUCGUAGGGCGAUGAUGCAUCAUGAAUCAUGCUGGAAAGAAGAUGAUAGAAGCUCUUCAAUUUCCUUUGCAAUUUGUAAGCAAUACUUAGACCAAGUCGAUUUAAUCUUAAACAUCGAUAAUGUGAACUUCCAAGAAUGUCUAUUAUUCUUGGUCAAACGGCAAAUUUACAUAGAAUGAUAACGGUCAACUUUUACAUUGACCAUAAUGAUUCAAACUAUAUUAAACAACACGCAAAAACAUGUCUAGAAGAUAACAAGGCUUUUCGGUGCAAUCAAACAAACUUGAAAUAUGAAGAUUCCAAUGCUUUUGGUUUUUCACAUGCGGUAUAAGCGUCUGGCCUUGCGUUCUGUGGCGUAACUCUUCUCCUACCACAAUUGUGAACAUUAAUCUCUCCACGUAAAGGUAGAUGUGUCCUGAAUCAACAAAAUUUGGUCAUAUAUAUCAUAUCUGACUUAAAGAACACCAGUAAACGCCACAAGAGUUGGCUAAAAAAAAACUGAAUAAGAGUGUUUUUGGGAGUGUACCAGUGGAUGAUUGGCCGGUGAGUAACAACAAUUUGUACCAGAUUUCAUUAAAAACAUCAAUCGUAAAUACGAUGCUCCAGUAACCUAUUUGAUCACAAAAGAGAGUAUAAUUUCUUCUGUUUUCUUCAAUAGAUAUUGAUUUGAAUUGACAUAUUACCUUGUAGUCAGCAGCGUCAAAGUCUGGACCGAGCAGUUCUAGAGCUUUUUUUGUAGUUGCCACUGGAUCGUGGUGGUGAGUAGUGGCGAGGGUGAUUUCUUCGGAGACGGCGGCGGAGAGAGGAGCGCGGAGCUUGUCGAGCUCUUCGAUGAGGACGAGGACGGACGGUUUGGAGCGGAGGACUUCUUGUUGCUCCUUGUUUAGGGUUUUCCCCUGAGAGAUCGAUUCUUCCAUUUGAGUGAUUCGGUUGAGUUUCUUGCGGAGGGCGCGGAGACGCUUGUUGAUGAGUCCCAUCACUGGUCCUUCGCUGGCGUCUGAGGAAGAUGUCGCUGUCGCUGUCGCAGUAGCGGUAG
rnacentral:lncRNA from 1 species